rnacentral:ncRNA from 1 species
GAUGAAGGAAGGGGCUAGCAAAACUUCCGAGCCUACGAACAGAAACCUGAUCAGGCUAAAUGGUGGAUGAGGUUGCGUUACAAACCAAAGUCCGAAAGGUAAACGUAAUAUACCAAGACAGUAAAUCAGGAGGUUGUGGAAGAAAGA